rnacentral:rRNA from 1 species
UACGUAGGGUGCAAGCGUUAAUCGGAAUUACUGGGCGUAAAGCGUGCGCAGGCGGUUUUGUAAGUCUGACGUGAAAUCCCCCGAGCUUAACUUGGGAAUUGCGUUGGAGACUGCAAGGCUGGAGUCUGGCAGAGGGGGGGUAGAAUUCCACGUGUAGCAGUGAAAUGCGUAGAGAUGUGGAGGAACACCGAUGGCGAAGGCACUUUACUGGGCUAUUACUAACACUCAGAGACGAAAGCUAGGGUAGCAAAUGGG